rnacentral:rRNA from 1 species
GUGGGGAAUUUUGGACAAUGGGGGGAACCCUGAUCCAGCCAUGCCGCGUGUGUGAAGAAGGCCUUUUGGUUGUAAAGCACUUUAAGCGAGGAGGAGGCUACCGAGAUUAAUACUCUUGGAUAGUGGACGUUACUCGCAGAAUAAGCACCGGCUAACUCUGUGCCAGCAGCCGCGGUAAUACAGAGGGUGCAAGCGUUAAUCGGAUUUACUGGGCGUAAAGCGCGCGUAGGUGGCCAAUUAAGUCAAAUGUGAAAUCCCCGAGCUUAACUUGGGAAUUGCAUUCGAUACUGGUUGGCUAGAGUAUGGGAGAGGAUGGUAGAAUUCCAGGUGUAGCGGUGAAAUGCGUAGAGAUCUGGAGGAAUACCGAUGGCGAAGGCAGCCAUCUGGCCUAAUACUGACACUGAGGUGCGAAAGCAUGGGGAGCAAACAGGAUUAGAUACCCCAGUAGUCC